CCUGGAAGCGACCAGAGAGAACGUGGCAGCAGAAUUCUAGGACAGUCCCCCAGGUCCCCAUGUCCUGGCAUGUAGGCUCUGAGCCCCUCCCCUGGCCUGGGCAUAGGAUGGAGCUUUGCUACAUUAUAUGGCAAAAGCAGAGGGUUUUGCUGAUGCACCCCAGCCAGCGCUCCUAUGUGAAGAGUCCCAGAGACACUGGCUAUGUAACCAGAAGAAGAGCCCAGAAAGCAGUGCGGGCAGAGGGGCAGCCCCUGCAGGCCGGCCCCGACGUCUGGAGCCCUACCUUGUUAUCGCCCAUCGACCACUGGCCAUAGUGCUCCAUCUCCUCCACCAGCUCGUCACAGGCUGCCUCAGUGAAGAUGGGGAACCAGUAGACAUCGGGGCAGGGCUGGAGAGAGCGAGGGCCCAGUCUCAGAGGGCUGCAGGGCGACCCCUGCAUCUUCCCUAUGAUGCUGAGCCUGCUGCAGGGCCCCUAGGGAGCUCACGUCCACUACACCUCAGAGCCCUCUGGGACCCCUGAGUGACUCCGAGCAGCAGUGACUCUCAGACCAGGUGAGCUACUGAAAGUGGGAGGCAGAGCUCAAGAUGGGCUUGCCCAGCCAGCUCACAGAGCUACCAGAACAGCAUCACAAAGGAACGUGCACACCGAGGGCCCCAGGGGAACGGACAUGGAAGACAGGACAGACAGCCACUCCUCAGCUGGCACAGGGGCCACAGCAGAGACCCAUUCAGAUGUGUUUCCCUCUGCAGGCCUCGGCCAGGGAAGAGGCCUACGGGCCCUGAGGCCCCUGCAGGCUCACGGAGGGCCCAUCCCGCCACCAACUCCUCUUGUCACCCCUCACCCAGCAGCAGGUGAAGGCCCAGCAGAAGGGGAGGCCCUGGCAGCAGGCCCGAGUGUGAAUCUGGAGCUUACCGUCUCCACCAGCUUCCCCGCCAGGGCCUUGGUGUAAUUCUCAUGGAUGUACUUCUCCUUCCAGUCCUGUAGGGUGGGAACCAGGCUGGGCCCUCGGGUCUGGCCUGAGCCAGGGGCUCACCACUUGCUCAAACCACAGGACGCUCCAAGAAGGGAGCUUCUGACGGGCUCCUCAACAUGAACAUUGUCCCAACUGUCUCCUUUGAUCAUGAUGACGCCCUCAGGGACAAGACAGGCUGAGGUAGCAUACCCAUUCUACAGCCAAGACAAACCAAGACAAUCAAGGCCCAAAAGUGUACCAGCUGAAGGGCCACAGAGAGGUCAGCCAGCCCUGAGGCAUGACCAGCUGCCACAACGGUCCGACUCCCAGACUCCCACCCUCGGCUUCCGCACUUACAAGACAGAGGCUUAGAGCCUGGCAACCGGCAUCGAGUGCCCUGAAAACCUGGGCUCAGCAAUCUACGGUCCCUGGACCAAAUCUUCCCACUGCCUGGUUUUGAACUGCUUAUGAGUGAAAAAAAAUGAUGUUCUGUGUUUCAAUGACUGGGGCAGAAAAAAGAACAUCAGAAGAUUACGUGGAAGUCAAACUUCAGUGUCCCUAAAUAAAGCGCGGUCCCAGUCAUUCAUUACAUGACAUCUGUGACUGGCACUGUGCUGCAAGGACUGAGCCCAGCAGUUGCAACCGAUGACCCCACAAAGCCGAUUGGCAAAUCCGUUUACACUCUAGAGCUUUGGAGGAAGUUGGCCAACCCUGAUCUGGAUUCUUCUACAAUCAACACAAACUACUUGCGUCUUUUUUUGUGUGU